AGGGAUGAAGCCAUUCGUAGUUCACCAUUCACUAAACUCAAACAUUUAUCCCAAUGCGUUCUAACAAGAAGGCAUAGCAUUCCUCAAUCAAUUAUUGGGACUUGACAAGCAUGAAUUACUAGAUUCAGGGCUACAUAACAAACCCACAAGACAUUCAAGAUUUCCAUUCCAUCCAUCAUAUAAAUCACUAUGUUUUCAACAUGAUACGAGAUCCACAACAUGUAAGAUAUCAAAGAACCAACAAAACACAUUAUUAUUCUCAAGCCACAUUGAUCAACUAAUCUAAUCAUAAUAAUAACAAUCAUAUCGAACGUCAUUCCACAAUCACAUCAAUUAAUCAAUUCCAUGAAUCAAAGAUGCACGAUAUUAACAUCUAACUACGUUAAUCAAUCAAUGAAAUAACACAUCAUUUCACGAAUUCAAUUAAAGAACUCUACAUAAUUCCCUACUUGGAUUAUAAGUAAUAACAUGAUAAAUCUAAUUUAUAUUCACAAGGUCUACUGUGGUUAAUCCUUAUUCACUCAAAUCUAGGGUUCCAGACUAACUUUAUGGAAAUGAGCAAGAGCAAGGGUUCCGGACCACUCGACGGAAUCCAACUAAAACAUGGCACCUACUGAAAUGUUUCAAGUACAACUAAUCCUCAUCACCCCUAGUAUGCGCAUGGUCCCUAAUU
rnacentral:lncRNA from 1 species